GAGCGUUCUAAGGGCUGUGAAGCGAGACCGGAAGGACUCGUGGAGCGCUUAGAAGUGAGAAUGCCGGUAUGAGUAGCGAAAGAGGGGUGAGAAUCCCCUCCACCGAAUGCCUAAGGUUUCCUGAGGAAGGCUCGUCCGCUCAGGGUUAGUCGGGACCUAAGCCGAGGCCGAAAGGCGUAGGCGAUGGACAACAGGGUGAUAUUCC
rnacentral:rRNA from 15 species